CUCAUCCUUGGAUCAAUAAUCUGCGCUAGUUUUUGUAGCCAUUUUCGACUCCUUCGGGCAUGCUUAUGAUAUGGUAAGCUCAGUGAAGUACUUCAUUGGGUCUUCGUUCUAGCUAAAUGACGAAUCAUUUGACUUUUUUUAGUAGUCAAUUCUAGCAAAGCCAAAUCAAAAAUAUACACAUCACUUUUUUUAUCACUUAAUAAUUUUCAAGGAUAAAUUACACUAAAUGUGACUGAAUUUUAGUUAAAAUUUCAUUUUUUCCAUUAAUUUUUAAAACUUAUAAUACUGUCAUUAAUAUUUAUUACAAAAACAUCACUUAACCAUUUAUUGUACAUGAAUAUGAAUAGUACUGGGCUUUCUCCUCUCCAACAAAUUUCUUCUACCAUUGACCUGCUUCUAUGGUGCCCCAUAGAUUUUAUUGGGCCACGUGUAAACUCAUUUAUUUUUAAAUAAAAUUUUGAGUCUACUUUUAACUUCUGUUAAACAAUAAAAAAAAAGUUUGAGACAAAUAAGGAAGAAGGAACGAGGUUAAAACUAGAUACAAAAUUUUAUAUAAAAAUAUAUGAAUUUGCACCUAAAAUCCAUGGAGCACAUAUAGAAGCAGGUAAAUGGGGCAAAGGAAAUCUUCUUCCCCUCUCUUUUUUAAAUACUAAAACUUAUUUCCUUUGUUUUUUAAUAUUGAAUCGUUUUUUUUCUCUUUUCCCUUUCUUCUUCUCCUUCUUUUCAUCUUAUUUCCCUUCUGCAGCAAAUCUUAGCCGUUCAUCGCCGCCGAUAGCUUUCCCCUAACACUGGAACUGGAGCAAUUCACCCCAUCGGAUCAGCAACAAUGGUUCUUUGUUAAUAAUUAAGCCGAGAUAACCAAUAUUCUUUAUUUAGAUCUACUUCGAUUCCAGCAUAAGGUGGAUUUGCCUAGAGUUGUAGAUACGAUGCUUUUAUGUGAAGUAGGAAUGCCUUGGAUUGAUAGUCCGUUUAGCAUGAACAAGCAAUUAAAAAGUAAGUUUGUUGUAAAGCUUUUCGUGUGUGAUUUUCCCCUAAAAUGCCCAUUAAUUAGUGACUGUUAUUGUUUAUAAAAGAUCUAUCUGCAAAUUCUUUAGUAAUUGUUUUUCAAAUUUUCUAGUAAUGAUAUAACAUUUCCAUUAACAUUCACUUCGGGAUGAUCAUAGAGUUGAUUAAUCAAUUCAAUUUUCAAACAACCUUGAGAAUUUUGAAGUAAUCGUUCCUCAUUGUUCAAAAUGGUUCUCUUUCAAAGCUACCUAAUUUAAGACAUUUUGAAUGAUUCGUAAGCACAAUUUUAAAAUUGUCAUUUCAUAGAUGAAUGUUUUGCCCCAAAAUGUCUUUAUUUGACCCCAGCUUAGAGAAUCCUCAUGUUCUACUUUAUUUUGGUUGAUUAAUUGAAUUUUUUAUUUUCAUUUAUAUUACCAGAAAAUUAGCUAGAAAUGGAGAAGUCCUGUAAUCUUCUUAUUCACUUUGACAAAGGCACACUUGCAAUUGCUAAUGCGAUUAAAGAAGCACCUGAAGGAAAUGGCCAAAUUUGAUGAAAAGGCCCAUUUUAAAGAAAAAUUAGGGAAAUGAACUAGUUUCUCUUAUAUUUAGGGGAAUGAGUAAACUUUGUAGGACGCAGUUUUGGUCCAAUGGAUAAAUAUAGUAUCUUAUUUUUUUUUAUUUUAUGUUGUUUAAAGUUUUUUUUAAUUUAUGUUUUUAAUUAAUAAUAUAUUGUUUUCAAAUUUUUUUAUUUUUAAUUCAUC
rnacentral:lncRNA from 1 species